AUUGAACGCUGGCGGCAUGCCUUACAUAUGCAAGUCGAACGGUAACGCGGGGCAACCUGGCGACGAGUGGCGAACGGGUGAGUAAUGCAUCGGAACGUGCCCAGUUGUGGGGGAUAACUGCUCGAAAGAGCAGCUAAUACCGCAUACGACCUGAGGGUGAAAGCGGGGGAUCGCAAGACCUCGCGCACUUGGAGCGGCCGAUGUCGGAUUAGCUAGUGGGUGGGGUAAAGGCCCACCAAGGCGACGAUCCGUAGCUGGUCUGAGAGGACGACCAGCCACACUGGGACUGAGGCACGGCACAGACUCCUACGGGAGGCAGCAGUGGGGAAUUUUGGACAAUGGACGCAAGUCUGAUCCAGCCAUGCCGCGUGCGGGAAGAAGGCCUUCGGGUUGUAAACCGCUUUUGUCAGGGAAGAAAUCUUCUGGGUUAAUACCUCGGGAGGAUGACGGUAACUGAAGAAUAAGCACCGGCUAACUACGUGCCAGCCGCCGCAGUAACAC
rnacentral:rRNA from 1 species